rnacentral:SRP_RNA from 11 species
GCUGGACUCUGUUACGUGGGUCUGUGACCCAAGUGGGGGCAAUAAAGUGGGCUUGAAGGAGCAAUUGAAAGCGGAUUACCAUGGAACUUAAAAGCCACUUGA